AACGCGAAGAACCUUACCAGGUCUUGACAUCCUCUGACAACCCUAGAGAUAGGGCUUCUCCUUCGGGAGCAGAGUGACAGGUGGUGCAUGGUUGUCGUCAGCUCGUGUCGUGAGAUGUUGGGUUAAGUCCCGCAACGAGCGCAACCCUUGACCUUAGUUGCCAUCAUUUAGUUGGGCACUCUAAGGUGACUGCCGGUGACAAACCGGAGGAAGGUGGGGAUGACGUCAAAUCAUCAUGCCCCUUAUGGCCUGGGCUACACACGUGCUACAAUGGACGGUACAAAGAGCUGCAAGACCGCGAGGUGGAGCUAAUCUCAUAAAACCGUUCUCAGUUCGGAUUGUAGGCUGCUACUCGCCUACAUGAAGCUGGAAUCGCUAGUAAUCGCGGAUCAGCAUGCCGCGGUGAAUACGUUCCCGGGCCUUGUACACACCG
rnacentral:rRNA from 1 species